UAUAAUUUCAACUAUUACUCUCAUACACAAAUUUCCAUAAAAUUUUCAUGAAGCACAGAUUCUUAAAUUAUUUUCGAUCACUUAUUGAUCGUAACUCGCUCGUCAUUGAUAUUCCGCUCAUACGAUUUUUAUAACCUCUUCAAAUAGCUCCUAAAAGUUACGAUCCCCUUAUCGCAUGGAUUUCCAGAUCGAUUCUGCAAACUUAAGGACAUUGUCUUCGAAAGGUUAAGAAGAAGAUAUUCCUUUGAUCCCAUCUUGAUGAUGUCGUAAGAGACGUCACGGAAGAUUGUACUUACAACCUCUUCGCGGUAAAAGCGACGGUAUUAAGGCUUACGAGAGGAGGAGAGGCACGGGUUGGCGGAAGCAAUAGAAACGAGGGUGGAAAAAAAGCAGCUGUUUGCACUGCAGCUUCAUCCACUACACAGUCAAUUGUAGCUGCUGUUUACUUGGUGCAUCCAGGGGGAUGAUCAUCGAACCCCUAUUUUUUAUUUGUCAGCUUUUUUGUUUCAUUCUCUUUGAUUCGCGAUUCUGUUUUCACGGGAAGGGGACAAUCUGAUUACAUGACGAAAGAUUUUUAACCUUUUCCGAAUUAUUUUGGCGAAACGAUUACUUUCUUUUAAUUAUUUUUUUUUUAAAUUGAAAAUUAUAUUCAUUUCGGAUGAAUUAUAUUUAUUCUG